rnacentral:rRNA from 1 species
UACGAAGGGGGCUAGCGUUGCUCGGAAUCACUGGGCGUAAAGCGCACGUAGGCGGAUUGCUAAGUCAGGGGUGAAAUCCUGGAGCUCAACUCCAGAACUGCCUUUGAUACUGGCGAUCUCGAGUCCGGGAGAGGUGAGUGGAACUGCGAGUGUAGAGGUGAAAUUCGUAGAUAUUCGCAAGAACACCAGUGCCGAAGGCGGCUCACUGGCCCGGUACUGACGCUGAGGUGCGAAAGCGUGGGGAGCAAACAGG